CGCCCUUAGAGUUUGAUCCUGGCUCAGGACGAACGCUUGCGGCGUGCCUAAGAAAUGCAAGUCGAACGGGCGGCCUUCGGGCCGUCAGUGGCGAACGGUCGCGUAACACGUAGGCAACCUGCCUCUAAGUGGGGGACAACGGCCCGAAAGGGCCGCUAAUACCGCAUGUGGCCGCCUCCUCGCAUGGGGGGGCGUCUAAAGCCUGAGGGCGCUUGGAGAUGGGCUUGCGGCCUAUCAGCUUGUUGGUGGGGUAACGGCCCACCAAGGCGAUGACGGGUAGCUGGUCUGAGAGGACGAUCAGCCGGAUUGGGACUGAGAUACGGCCCAGACUCCUACGGGGGGCAGCAAUUAGGAAUCUUGCGCAAUGGGCGAAAGCCUGACGCAGCGACGCCGCGUGGGGGAUGAAGGCCUUCGGGUCGUAAACCCCUUUUACCGGGGAAGAAGGAUGUGACGGUACCCGGUGAAUAAGCCCCGGCUAACUACGUGCCAGCAGCCGCGGUAAUACGUAGGGGGCGAGCGUUGUCCGAAGUUACUGGGCGUAAAGAGCGCGUAGGCGGCUUUCUAAGUCUGGUGUGAAAGGUUCAGGGCUCAACCCGAACAGUGCACUGGAUACUGGGAGGCUUGAGUGCGGCAGAGGGAAGCGGAAUUCCUGGUGUAGCGGUGAAAUGCGUAGAUAUCAGGAGGAACACCGAUGGCGAAGGCAGCUUCCUGGGCCGUUUCUGACGCUGAGGCGCGAAAGCGUGGGGAGCGAACGGGAUUAGAUACCCCGGUAGUCCACGCCGUAAACGAUGAGUGCUAGGUGUCGGGGGUAUCGACCCCUCCGGUGCCGCCGCUAACGCAGUAAGCACUCCGCCUGGGGAGUACGGCCGCAAGGUUGAAACUCAAAGGAAUUGACGGGGGCCCGCACAAGCGGUGGAGCAUGUGGUUUAAUUCGUCACUAACCGAAGAACCUUACCCAGGCUUGACAUCGCGUGAAAGGCUGUGAAAGCAGUCCCCCCCGCAAGGGGCACAAAGACAGGUGUUGCAUGGCUGUCGUCAGCUCGUGUCGUGAGAUGUUGGGUUAAGUCCCGCAACGAGCGCAACCC
rnacentral:rRNA from 1 species